ensembl:misc_RNA Metazoa_SRP Metazoan signal recognition particle RNA
GCCGGGCGUGGUGGCUCACGCCUGUAAUCCAAGCAAUUUGGAGGCCAAGGGGGGAGGAUCACCUGAGGUCGGGAAUUCAAGAUCAGCCUGACCAACAUGGUGAAACCCCGUCUUUA